rnacentral:tRNA from 2 species
GGUUCAGUGGUCUAGUGGUUAUGAUUUCUGUCUUACACACAGAAGGUCCCCAGUUCGAUCCUGGGCUGAACCA